GGGAGAGCCGGGGUCGUGGACGUUGAAUCUGAAGCCGUGGGUGCUGGAGUGGGAGUGAGGUGUGGAGAGCGCAGACGCGGAUCGGAGGAGGAAGGAACCGCGGGGGAGGCAGGAAGUGAGGGUUGCGAGCGGUCACCACAAAGGCUCAAAGCAAUGGUUGGAGAACGGCUGGAGCCUCAGUAUGGGUCACGGCAAGAAGUCAAAGGUGGGGCCGGCAAGGCGGCUCAACCAGUACAGAAGUUUGUCGCGAAGAUCGCUCAUCUAGAUACAACCACUGGGACCUCCCAUGGAAGGGUUUCUCACUGAGCCUGGAACUCACUGUUUCACACAGGCUGGUCGGCCAUCGUGGGAGCGGCCCAGGACUGGAGUUACAGGGUGAAGCUACCAACUUUAUGAACGUCCAUUAGGCACUCGCACAGAGAUGGAGAGUGUUCCUGGUUACUGGGGUUGGGUCAGAGGAGGGGGACUGCACGCUGCUGAGAGAGCUUCUUGGGGAAUGACAGAAUAGUCAGAAAUUGGACAGUGGUGAUAGUUGGUAACUUUGAAUAUGAAAAUCAGUAAGUUGUAUUCUUCCAAGGGAUAAAUUUGGGGCUGAGGUCAUAGUGUACUGGCAGAGUAUGUGGUCAGCAUGCACAAGGUUUCGGGUUUGAUCGCUAGCAACACACACACACACACACACACACACACACACACACACACACACACACAGUGAAUUUCAUGCUAAUAAUGCUAUUACUCAAACACAAAAAAGGUCAUCAGUAUGAAUACCUAGCCUCCCACGCCGGAAGUCCCUCUAAAGGGAGCGGGAGCAUAAAGGAAAGCUGUAUAAAUUAUGUAGCCAGAGAAUCUGAGAGUCUUGGUACUAAGUGGUGAGUAUACCUGAUCGCUUUAAAUAGGUUUGUUCAUAACCUGAUCCUUACCUUAUCUGGAGCAUAUUAUUGGAUAGCUAAUUAAAAUAUCCUAGAAAAAAAUACAUUAAAAAAAAGUUCUCAGCAAUAUGAAAAAACCCAGAAGCAUACAAGACUGGUCCGCGCAUACAAGCAGGCGUGCGGAACCCCUGAAAAUGUGUCAAAUGCGCAACUGACAUACUGGCAGUUAAAAACUGGCAAUCAAACAUCACGGCACAUGGUACCCAGGUCACACAGCCUCUGUAAGUUCUAGCUUGGUCUCCCCAGAUUUCAUUCUCGUGGUGUGCUAAGUUGCCUGUCAGGGUGAGCUGGGACAGUCUCAGGCGCUCAGGCCCUUAGCCACAGCAGCUCUGCUCCCUACCCCAAGGCCCAGCACAAAGGACUUUCAAUGUAACCCUUCCUUCAUGACCUCCACAUGGGCAUCUCCCAGUGCCUGCGUGAAGAGCUGCACUCUGCCGUCUGCACCACACAUGGUGUGAGUGCCACAGGACUACGUAGAGCUUUGCAAGAGAUGGAGAGUGCCACAUUUCUUAAGGCAUACCUCUUGAGUGUGUCUGUGAAGAUGUUUCCUGAGAGAAUUCACUAGGGUUCACUGUGAGAAGGGGAGGGAGGUGGGGAGACCUAUCUGCCUUGAAGGUGGGCAGUGUCAUCCCAAGAGGUGAGGAUAAAGGACAAAGGAGCAGCUGGCUGAGUACCAGCAUCUUCUGAUCUCUGCUUCCUGGCUCACUGUGAUGGAUGCAAGUCCUCUGAAACCAGGAGCCCAAACAAACCCUUCCCCCACUAAGCCUUCUCUGCCAGGAAUUGUGGUUAGAGAGACAAAGAGUAACCGAUACUCUCCACAACUGAAGGAAUCCUAGAUAAUACAUGAAGCUAGAAUGUUAUUAAAAUUUCCAUAGAGGAAGUCAACUUGUUACUAGUUAGAACUACAAUUCCUCAGGAAUUCUGUGUGUGUUUCAGAAACUCAGAGUUUCUGAUAUCUAAAUGAGUCCAGAUCUAUUUAAUUUUCUAAUUUAACAAAGAAGCUAUUUCCCACAGUGACAGCUAGAUUUGUAAUAUCUCAGUUACUUGGCAGAAAAGAUACAGGGCCUCCAGGUAAUAUGAAUUUCAGAUAAAUGACAAAAGUGUACACCUCCAGGAAACCUCAAGCCCACUGCCGGUGACACACCAUCUCCCAAGGCCACGCCCACUCCAAAGAGGCCACACCUCUGAAUUCUUCUCAAAUGGUUCCACUAACUGGGACUAAGCAUGCAAACAUAUGUGUCUGUGGGAGCCAUUCUCAUUCAAACCACUGUAUUCGGCCACCUCCACCUGCAUGGGCACUAUUAGCAACUAGGGAGAAGGCUCAGUAGGUGCAGUGCUUGCUGCAGGAGCUUGAGGACGUGAGCUUGGAUGCUCACACUUACACAGAAGUCAUGUAUGGGAGUGCAUGCUUGUAAUUCCAACAAGGGGGAGACAGAGACAGGAGGAUCCCUGGGAUCCACUGGCCAGCCAUUCCAGGCAAAUCAGAAAGCCAUGGUUCAGUGAGUAACUCUUUUCUCAAAGAAAUAUGGUGGAGAGGGAUUGGUGAAGAGACCUGGUGUUGACCUCUGGCCUCUAGCAUACACAAUUUGUUUUUAAAGUUCAAAUAAAAGGAAAUGGGGUGGGGGAUGAAUAUGAUCAAAAUAUACAGUGUCUUAGGGAGUCAUUGCUUUGAACAGACACCAUGACCAAGGCAACUCAUAUAAGGACAACAUUUAAUUGCGGCCUGCUUACAGGUUCAGAGGUUUAGUCCAUUAUCAUCAUGACAGGAAGUGUGGCAGCAUCCGGGCAGACAUGGUGCCGAGAGUUCUACAUCUUGACCUAAAGAUCAAGCCUCUCUCUUCCGCACUGGGCAGAGCUUGAGCAUAGGACUGAAAAGCUCAACCUACCUACCCCUGCAGUGACAUUUACUCCAGCAAGGCCACACCUAGUCUAAAAAGGCCACACCUCCUAAAAGUGACACUUCCUGUGGGCCAAGCAUUCAAACGCAUGAGUCUAUGGGUGCCAAACCCAUUCAAACCACUACACACACUGCAUGAAAAUUUACAAGAAUUAAUAAGAUCAUUACUUAGAAAGGAAAUUAUUAGGGUUAUAAUUUAUUAAAAGGGUGAAUCAUUGAUUUAGUCCCCCCCCCCAAUUCAGAGAACAAAAUCCAAAGACACAGAAAGG
ensembl:lincRNA D230017M19Rik RIKEN cDNA D230017M19 gene